rnacentral:rRNA from 1 species
GUCGAACGAAGCACUUUACCUGAUUUCCUUCGGGGAUGAUUGUUCUGUGACUGAGUGGCGGACGGGUGAGUAACGCGUGGAUAACCUGCCUCACACAGGGGGAUAACAGUUGGAAACGACUGCUAAUACCGCAUAAGCGCACAGCACCGCAUGGUGCAGUGUGAAAAACUCCGGUGGUGUGAGAUGGAUCCGCGUCUGAUUAGCUUGUUGGCGGGGUAACGGCCCACCAAGGCGACGAUCAGUAGCCGGCCUGAGAGGGCGACCGGCCACAUUGGGACUGAGACACGGCCCAGACUCCUACGGGAGGCAGCAGUGGGGAAUAUUGCACAAUGGGGGAAACCCUGAUGCAGCGACGCCGCGUGAGCGAUGAAGUAUUUCGGUAUGUAAAGCUCUAUCAGCAGGGAAGAUAAUGACGGUACCUGACUAAGAAGCUCCGGCUAAAUACGUGCCAGCAGCCGCGGUAAUACGUAUGGAGCAAGCGUUAUCCGGAUUUACUGGGUGUAAAGGGAGCGUAGGCGGUCCUGCAAGUCUGAUGUGAAAGGCCGGGGCUCAANCCCCGGGACUGCAUUGGAAACUGUAGGANUAGAGUGUCGGAGGGGUAAGUGGAAUUCCUAGUGUAGCGGUGAAAUGCGUAGAUAUUAGGAGGAACACCAGUGGCGAAGGCGGCUUACUGGACGACUACUGACGCUGAG